rnacentral:snoRNA from 1 species
UGAAUGAAUAAAAAGAAUCUUUAUUCAUUCAACAGGAGUCUGGAGUGAUUGUGGUGAGGGGCACACAAAUGAACAAAUUCCUUACAUGU